UUGACAAAACACACAAAAUAUUGAUAACAUGUUUUAAUGGGAUUUUAUUAAGUGCAAAAGACAUGUACAUUUAUAAAAAAAAAAUCAAAACAUUUGGUUAACAUCUUUUGUUGUGAAAAAGUGAUUACAUCUGACAGAACGGCCCUACUCAUUUAUAAAACUUGAACCCUUUCCCUAUGCAAUACAAACAAAACUGUUGCCAUAACUUAACAUCUAAAAUUUGAGAAAUUUUUUCAUUUAGGCUUCAAUAUCCUAACGCUUUUCGGAGAAAAAGUGGGGAUAUUGUGGUUAUCUCCGUCUUCUGUCCGUCCUGGCCACUUUCUCCUCCUACACUAUAAGCACUAGAACCUUGAAACUUACACACAUGGUAGCUAUGAGCAUAUGUGCGACCCUGCACUAUUUGGAAUUUUGAUCUGACCCCUGGGUCAAAAGUUAUGUGGGUUGGGGUGGGGCCGGGUCAGAGAUUUUUACUCAUUUUUAUGCCCCUGGAUCAAAAGAUCGGGGGUAUAUUGUUUUUCGCCUGUCUGUCAUUGUAUGUGUGUGUGUCCCAAAACUUUAACCUUGGUCAUAACUUUUGCAAUAUUCAAGAUAGCAACUUGAUAUUUGGCAUGCAUGUGUAUCUCAUGGAGCUGCAUAUUUUGAGUGCACCGGAGACUACACCGAAUGUCUUCAAAUUGAUACUGAAGCUCUCUUAUGGCAAUACGGAUAAUCUCAACUAUACAUGGCCCCAUUACCAACCCUGGGGUGCCCCGCCCACAUUGGCCACGCCCACAUAGACCACGCCCACCCAAAAUUGCCUUUUACUAUAAUUUCUUCAUUUCUACACCGAUUCACUUCAAAUUGAUACUGAACCUCUCUUAUGACAUUAUGGUUAAUCUCAACUAUGCAUGGCCCCAUAACCAACCCUGGGGCACCCGCCCACAUAGGCCACGCCCACCCAAAAUUGCCUUUUACUAUAAUAUCUUCAUUUCUACACCGAUUCACAUCUAAUUGAUACCGAACUUCUCUUAUGACAAUACGUUCAAUCUCAACUAUGCAUAAAACCAUUACCAACCCUGGGGGAGCCCUGGGUCAAACAUGCGGCGUGGGGAUACACGUCGGCCUCAACCGCGCCAUUUCUAGUUUAUAUUUUUGAAAUCACCCAUAUUUGUGUAAAGUUUGGAGAAAAAUCAAGAAAAACAUAUUUUAACAAUGAAAUACAUUUAAGUUGUUUGAUGAUAUUUUCAUGUAUUUCAACGUUUCCAAUGUCCAGAUAAAUACCCUAUUUGUACCCAUUGAAAACCUUUAAAACUUUAAUUUUGCAUUGUUAUUUUGUGUUGGGCUUGAAGAAAAAAGAUUGACCUGUAAUGCAAAUGUUUACAUUAUAUCUCGCAAUCAUAACAAUUGUAGUGGUGACCGGGUUUUAUCAUUAUUAUAUGAUUAUUAGUGCUUGUGGUCAUAUUUCAGAUGCCCAGGGGCCUUUAUGGUUGGGUUAGUGAGGGGUGCUCCCUCCCUUCCUUAAUUGAUUUUUAGCUCCACUGGCCAAAGGCCAGCGAGGCGUAUGUCAUAGUCCUGUGUCCGUCAUGCGUGCGUCCGUCCGUGCCUGCGUGCGUCCUUGUCCUUAACUGUAGGAUCUAGGGCUACCACAUUUUGUAUGUAGUGAGAUAUAGUAGUUCUCUAUGUGUCCAAUAAUUAUGUUGAUGAAGGUGGCAGUGGUAAUGACUUGAUAUGUCUGUGAGAUAUGAAUGCCAAAGUCUUCGUUUUACAUGACAUGAAUUUUUAUGUAAAAGUGGUGGUUCUUCAUAAAUUCUACAUGUUCUUUUCAAAUGAUGACCUCUACAAAGUUGUUCCAGGAGUACCAUAUUGCCUGACAAUCUUUUGUUUUAUUGUUAACUUAAACUGUACUUGAUUCUAGCAUGCCACUAUACUUCUUUGAAGUAAUUUGAGCAAAUUUCUCACUGUUUAGUAAUGUAUACAUUGUUUAAGGUACAUUAUAAUUUCACAUUUUGUAGGUGGACUUCAAUAUGUAUGAUCUACUUAUGCUGCCACAAUGUAAAGGCAACAAUCACUGGGUUUUGCUGUUUGCAAGUGUUAUGUCCAGGACUGUAACCAUUUACGACUCGUUGGGUGGUAACAACAAGGCAUUGUUCGAUUUGUUCUGCCAGUUCAUGUGUCAACGAGCGCAAAUUGUGAACGAUGGCUUGGAAAAAAUUCAGUUCAGAGUUCAAAGCGCCACCUUGCAACAAACAGCGCCAUGGAAACAGCUGUGGAGUGUUUGCAUUGAUGACUGCCAAAUGUAUGGUCAUGAAAAAGCAUCCCACAAUGUUGCGACAGGCCCAUGAUUCAGCUUAUCAAGACUAGUCGUGAGACGCAGACUUCUGAUUCAUGGAGUGCGGCAAACAUAUCUGUGUGACUCGAUCACUCCACUGUAAAGACCCGCACGGCAUUAAAAUGGAUAUUAUCAAUAUGUGUUGUUGCUCGAAAAUAUGUUUUGUAGCAGGAAGUGCUUUGGGCUCGAUUAAUCUGAGAACUCAACAAAAUAUUAAUAAAAUCCUUCUGUGCCUUUUAGUUCUGAAAACAGAAGUAGCCAGUUGGUAUUACACAUCUCCUAAACAAGUACAGCACAAUAAAACUGAAGGUUUUAAAUCCUACAUUU